rnacentral:rRNA from 1 species
CCUACGGGAGGCUGCAGUGGGGAAUAUUGGACAAUGGGCGAAAGCCUGAACCAGCCAUGCCGCGUGCAGGAAGAAGGCCUUCUGGGUUGUAAACUGCUUUUGUCAGGGGAUAAAAUGGGCGUGCGCGCUUAAUUGAAGGUACCUGGCGAAUAAGCCACGGCUAACUACGUGCCAGCAGCCGCGGUAAUACGUAGGUGGCAAGCGUUGUCCGGAUUUAUUGGGUUUAAAGGGUGCGUAGGCGGUCCCAUAAGUCAGUGGUGAAAUACUCUAGCUUAACUAGAGGGGUGCCAUUGAUACUGCGGGACUUGAGUGGAGUUGAAGUGGGCGGAAUUGACGGUGUAGCGGUGAAAUGCUUAGAUAUCGUCAAGAACACCGAUAGUGAAGACAGCUCACUAAGCUCAAACUGACGCUGAGGCACGAAAGUGUGGGGAUCAAACAGG